rnacentral:misc_RNA from 1 species
GAUGAAGAACGUAGCGAAAUGCGAUACGUAGUGUGAAUUGCAGAAUCCAGUGAAUCAUCGAAUCUUUGAACGCACAUUGCGCCCCCUGGUAUUCCGGGGGGCAUGCCUGUCCGAGCGUCAUUGCUGCCCUCAAGCACGGCUUGUGUGUUGGGCCUCCGUCCUCCUCCCGGGGGACGGGCCCGAAAGGCAGCGGCGGCACCGCGUCCGGUCCUCGAGCGUAUGGGGCUUCGUCACCCGCUCUUGUAGGCCCGGCCGGCGCUUGCCGACACAUCAAUCUUUUUUCCAGGUUGACCUCGGAUCAGGUAGGGAUACCCGCUGAACUUAAGCAUAUCAAUAAGCGGAGGA